ACCCUAGUAGCUCAGUUGGUAGAGAAUAUGCUUGCAAUGCAGGAGACCCAGGUUUGAUUCCUGGGUUGGGAA
rfam:Ovis aries breed Texel chromosome 7, whole genome shotgun sequence.